rnacentral:rRNA from 1 species
GACGAACGCUGGCGGCGUGCUUAACACAUGCAAGUCGAACGGAAAGGCCCUGCUUUUGUGGGGUGCUCGAGUGGGGAACGGGUGAGUAACACGUGAGUAACCUGCCCUUGACUUUGGGAUAACUUCAGGAAACUGGGGCUAAUACCGGAUAGGAGCUCCUGCUGCAUGGUGGGGGUUGGAAAGUUUCGGCGGUUGGGGAUGGACUCGCGGCUUAUCAGCUUGUUUGUGGGGGAGUGGCUUACCAAGGCUUUGACGGGUAGCCGGCCUGAGAGGGUGACCGGCCACAUUGGGCCUGCGAUACGGCCCAGACUCCUACGGGAGGCAGCAGUGGGGAAUAUUGCACAAUGGGCGGAAGCCUGAUGCAGCAACGCCGCGUGCGGGAUGACGGCCUUCGGGUUGUAAACCGCUUUCGCCUGUGACGAAGCGUGAGUGACGGUAAUGGGUAAAGAAGCACCGGCUAACUACGUG